rnacentral:sRNA from 1 species
UGUCCCCAAAGCACACACCUGGUGGGAGCUUCCCUUGCCAACCUUGGGUCACUGGGUGGCCGUAUUUUGCCAGCCUGAUCGGAUGUCAGACCCAGAACCUCCUAUUGGGGGCGGCGGGGGGACCCCGGUGAUGUCUGAGCCAUAGUACAGGCUGCCGUUGAAGAGACACCAAGGCCCACUUGUUCAGGGUGUGCAUGCUGCGGUAGUUUCCUGCUAGGCCAUCUGAGGCAGUGCUUUCUCAGAAUGAACAAGGUUCUCAAGAGACACCUGCCUUCCAGGGUGGGGAGUCCGUGAGGGGAAGGUAGGGAGGCCCCGCUCUCCACUCUGGCCCCACAAUCCCUGCCCCUGAGCAGGUGGAGCAUAUGACCCGUCACCUGGAGGAGAGUGAGAAGGCCAUGCAGGAGCGGGUGCAGAGGCUGGAGGCGGCGCGGCUGUCCCUGGAGGAGCAACAGCGCCUGGCUCACCUGGAGGACAAGCUGAGACUGCUGGCGCAGGCACGGGACGAGGCGCAGGGCGCUUGCCUACAGC